rnacentral:rRNA from 1 species
GACGAACGCUGGCGGCGUGCUUAACACAUGCAAGUCGAACGGAAAGGCCUCUUUCGGGGGGUACUCGAGUGGCGAACGGGUGAGUAACACGUGAGUAACCUGCCCUUGACUUUGGGAUAACUUCAGGAAACUGGGGCUAAUAUCGGAUAGAAGCUCCUGCUGCACGGUGGGGGUUGGAAAGUUUCGGCGGUUGGGGAUGGACUCGCGGCUUAUCAGCUUGUUGGUGGGGUAGUGGCUUACCAAGGGUUUGACGGGGAGCCGGCCUGAGAGGGUGACCGGGCACAAUGGGACUGAGAUACGGCCCAGGCUCCCACGGGAGGCAACAGGGGGGAAUAUUGCACAAUGGGUGGGAGCCUGAUGCAGCAACGCCGUGUGCGGGAUGACGGCCUUCGGGUUGUAAACCGCUUUCGCUCAUGACGAAGCUUUGUGUGACGGUAGUGGGUAAAGAAGCACCGGCUAACUACGUG